rnacentral:rRNA from 1 species
GAUGAACGCUGGCGGCGUGCCCAAUACAUGCAAGUCGAGCGAACGGACGAGAAGCUUGCUUCUCUGAUGUUAGCGGCGGACGGGUGAGUAACACGUGGAUAACCUACCUAUAAGACUGGGAUAACUUCGGGAAACCGGAGCUAAUACCGGAUGAUAUUUUGAACCGCAUGGUUCAAAGGUGAAAGACGGUCUUGCUGUCACUUAUAGAUGGAUCCGCGCUGCAUUAGCUAGUUGGUAAGGUAACGGCUUACCAAGGCAACGAUGCAUAGCCGACCUGAGAGGGUGAUCGGCCACACUGGAACUGAGACACGGUCCAGACUCCUACGGGAGGCAGCAGUAGGGAAUCUUCCGCAAUGGGCGAAAGCCUGACGGAGCAACGCCGCGUGAGUGAUGAAGGUCUUCGGAUCGUAAAACUCUGUUAUUAGGGAAGAACAUAUGUGUAAGUAACUGUGCACAUCUUGACGGUACCUAAUCAGAAAGCCACGGCUAACUACGUG